rnacentral:rRNA from 1 species
GAUGAACGCUGGCGGCGUGCCUAAUACAUGCAAGUCGAGCGAACGGACGAGAAGCUUGCUUCUCUGAUGUUAGCGGCGGACGGGUGAGUAACACGUGGAUAACCUACCUAUAAGACUGGGAUAACUUCGGGAAACCGGAGCUAAUACCGGAUAAUAUUUUGAACCGCAUGGUUCAAAAGUGAAAGACGGUCUUGCUGUCACUUAUAGAUGGAUCCGCGCUGCAUUAGCUAGUUGGUAAGGUAACGGCUUACCAAGGCAACGAUGCAUAGCCGACCUGAGAGGGUGAUCGGCCACACUGGAACUGAGACACGGUCCAGACUCCUACGGGAGGCAGCAGUAGGGAAUCUUCCGCAAUGGGCGAAAGCCUGACGGAGCAACGCCGCGUGAGUGAUGAAGGUCUUCGGAUCGUAAAACUCUGUUAUUAGGGAAGAACAUAUGUGUAAGUAACUGUGCACAUCUUGACGGUACCUAAUCAGAAAGCCACGGCUAACUACGUGCCAGCAGCCGCGGUAAUACGUAGGUGGCAAGCGUUAUCCGGAAUUAUUGGGCGUAAAGCGCGCGUAGGCGGUUUUUUAAGUCUGAUGUGAAAGCCCACGGCUCAACCGUGGAGGGUCAUUGGAAACUGGAAAACUUGAGUGCAGAAGAGGAAAGUGGAAUUCCAUGUGUAGCGGUGAAAUGCGCAGAGAUAUGGAGGAACACCAGUGGCGAAGGCGACUUUCUGGUCUGUAACUGACGCUGAUGUGCGAAAGCGUGGGGAUCAAACAGGAUUAGAUACCCUGGUAGUCCACGCCGUAAACGAUGAGUGCUAAGUGUUAGGGGGUUUCCGCCCCUUAGUGCUGCAGCUAACGCAUUAAGCACUCCGCCUGGGGAGUACGACCGCAAGGUUGAAACUCAAAGGAAUUGACGGGGACCCGCACAAGCGGUGGAGCAUGUGGUUUAAUUCGAAGCAACGCGAAGAACCUUACCAAAUCUUGACAUCCUUUGACAACUCUAGAGAUAGAGCCUUCCCCUUCGGGGGGGGUAAAGUGACAGGUGGUGCAUGGUUGUCGUCAGCUCGUGUCGUGAGAUGUUGGGUUAAGUCCCGCAACGAGCGCAACCCUUAAGCUUAGUUGCCAUCAUUAAGUUGGGCACUCUAAGUUGACUGCCGGUGACAAACCGGAGGAAGGUGGGGAUGACGUCAAAUCAUCAUGCCCCUUAUGAUUUGGGCUACACACGUGCUACAAUGGACAAUACAAAGGGCAGCGAAACCGCGAGGUCAAGCAAAUCCCAUAAAGUUGUUCUCAGUUCGGAUUGUAGUCUGCAACUCGACUACAUGAAGCUGGAAUCGCUAGUAAUCGUAGAUCAGCAUGCUACGGUGAAUACGUUCCCGGGUCU